CUAUUAUCGUGCGCAAAGUUCGAUUUUGCGCAUGCAUUUGCGUUCGCAAAGUACCACUUUCCCACACGUUGACAAGAGCGCGCGGGAAAGCAACUGAGCGAACGGGGAUCGGGAGACCACACGUCUCAACUCCAGU